rnacentral:rRNA from 1 species
UACGUAGGUGACCAGCGUUGUCCGGAUUUACUGGGCGUAAAGAGCGCGCAGGCGGUCGUUCAAGUCGAGUGUGAAAGCCCCCGGCUCAACUGGGGAGGGUCAUUCGAUACUGAUCGACUGGAAGGCAGGAGAGGGAAGCGGAAUUCCCGGUGUAGUGGUGAAAUGCGUAGAUAUCGGGAGGAACACCAGUGGCGAAGGCGACUACCUGGCCUGUUCUUGACGCUGAGGCGCGAAAGCUAGGGGAGCAAACGGG